rnacentral:rRNA from 1 species
UACGGAGGGUGCAAACGUUGCUCGGAAUCAUUGGGCGUAAAGCGCACGUAGGUGGCUUGUUAAGUCGGGUGUGAAAUCCCUGGGCUCAACCCAGGAAGUGCACUCGAAACUGGCGAGCUUGAGUACUGAAGAGGGUCGCGGAAUUCCCGGUGUAGAGGUGAAAUUCGUAGAUAUCGGGAGGAACACCAGUGGCGAAGGCGACUUACUGGACACAUAUUGACGCUGAGGUGCGAAGGCGUGGGGAGCAAACAGG